rnacentral:tRNA from 1 species
GCGGGCAUCGUAUAACGGCUAUUAUGUGACCUUCCCAAGGUUGAGACCAGAGUUCGACUCUCUGUGCCCGCACCA